rnacentral:rRNA from 1 species
AUGCAUGAAAAGGAAGGUGGAGCAGCUAGAGAGCAAAGAACCAUGCAAGCAUUUAGAGAUGCUCUAUCUGAUUGUGAGUUGGAAGAUAUGGGAGCGACGGGAGACGUCUAUAUGUGGAGUAGAGGAGUGAUCAAGGAAAGGUUGGAUAGAGCAGUAUGCAACUCAAGAUGGAACCAACUGUUUCCUAAUGCAGGGGUCAUCAAUGGUGAAAUGACCAAGUCUGAUCAUAGGCCGUUGGUGACUAACACUGAAUUAUAUGUAGAGGCGAUUCGGCCCCCUAGUUCAAUGAAGAGAUUUGAGGGGAGAUGGCUUAAGGAGGAAACAGUUGAGGAGGUGGUACGAACGGCUUGGAUGAAGGCGUCGUCGUUAGGCCUUGGACCGUUUAAACAAAAAGUAGAUUCAGUCCAUAAUGAUCUGCAUAAGUGGGACAAAGAGGUAUUAAAAAGGCCACAUAAGAGAAUGGCGAAACUGAAGAAGGAGUUAGAGAGUCUGAGAAGAGGGCCAGCUACGGACGCAACGAUUGAUAGACAAAAAGAAAUACUUCUAACUAUUGAAAACUUGAUGGAGCAGGAAGAGAUUGAAUGGGUACAGAGAGGAAGAGCUAAUUGGCUGAAGCACGGUGACCGUAAUACAAUUUUUUUUCCAUUUGUAUGCUUCGGCAAGAAAGAAGAGGAAUACGAUCAAGGGUUUAAUGGACGAAAAUGGGGUAUUGGAGGAAGGGCAACAGGAGAUGGAUGA